rnacentral:rRNA from 1 species
UACGUAGGGCGCGAGCGUUGUCCGGAAUUAUUGGGCGUAAAGAGCUCGUAGGCGGUCUGUCGCGUCUGCUGUGAAAACUCAGGGCUUAACCCUGAGCUUGCAGUGGGUACGGGCAGACUAGAGUGCGGUAGGGGAGACUGGAAUUCCUGGUGUAGCGGUGAAAUGCGCAGAUAUCAGGAGGAACACCGGUGGCGAAGGCGGGUCUCUGGGCCGUAACUGACGCUGAGGAGCGAAAGCAUGGGGAGCGAACAGG